GAAUACUUCACAACAUACAAAGCCGGUGACUUUGGAGAAUUGAAAAUGGGAAAUUCCAGUUCCGCUGAAAUUGUCGGAAUUGGUGAUGUCCAGAUAAAGACAAGUUCCGGGAGCACAAUCACUUUGAAGGAUGUCCGCCAUGUGCCAGAUCUUCGGCUAAAUCUAUGAUGUCCAGAUAAAGACAAGUUCUGGGAGCACAAUCAUUUUGAAGGAUGUCUGCCAUGUGCCAGAUCUUCGGCUAAAUCUAUUGUUAGGAAUGGCUCUUGACAAACAGGGCUAUGAU
rnacentral:lncRNA from 1 species